rnacentral:rRNA from 1 species
UACAGGGGGUGCAAACGUUGCUCGGAAUCAUUGGGCGUAAAGCGCACGUAGGCGGUCUGUUAUGUCGGAUGUGAAAGCCCUUGGCUCAACUGAGGAAGUGCAUCCGAAACUGGCAGGCUAGAGUACGUAAGAGGGUCGCGGAAUUCCCGGUGUAGAGGUGAAAUUCGUAGAUAUCGGGAGGAACACCGGUGGCGAAGGCGGCGACCUGGGACGAUACUGACGCUGAGGUGCGAAAGCGUGGGGAGCAAACAGG